rnacentral:rRNA from 1 species
AUGAACUGUCUAAGCUGGAACUGCCGGGGGCUUGGGAACCCCGAGGCAGUUCGUGAGCUUCGCAACAUCGCGAGGCAAGGAGGGCCCGCUCUGGUUUUCGUCAUGGAGACAAAGAUCAGAGGCAAGAGAGUUGAGGAUCUGCGGCACACCCUAGGGUUUGCAGGCAGCUUCGGUGUGGACAGCGACGGUCUGAGCGGAGGCAUAGGACUAUUCUGGUAA